GUCUACUGCCGUGCCACCCUGAACAAGCCUGAUGCCAUCUGAUCUCGGAAGCUAAGCAGGGUCGGGCCUGGUUAGUACUUGGAUGGGAGACCACCUGGGGAAGACCAGGUGCUGUAGGCG
rnacentral:rRNA from 1 species